rnacentral:rRNA from 1 species
AGUCCCUACGGGGGGCAGCAGUGGGGAAUAUUGCACAAUGGGGGAAACCCUGAUGCAGCGACGCCGCGUGAGUGAAGAAGUAUUUCGGUAUGUAAAGCUCUAUCAGCAGGGAAGAUAAUGACGGUACCUGACUAAGAAGCCCCGGCUAACUACGUGCCAGCAGCCGCGGUAAUACGUAGGGAGCAAGCGUUAUCCGGAAUUAUUGGGUGUAAAGGGUGCGUAGACGGGACAGCAAGUUAGUUGUGAAAGCCCUCGGCUUAACUGAGGAACUGCAACUA